CCUACGGGGUGCAGCAGUGAGGAAUAUUGGUCAAUGGUCGGGAGACUGAACCAGCCAAGCCGCGUGAGGGAUGAAGGUACAGAGUAUCGUAAACCUCUUUUGUCAGGGAACAAAGGCGGGGACGCGUCCCCGGAGGAGGGUACCUGAAGAAAAAGCAUCGGCUAACCCCGUGCCAGCAGCCGCGGUAAUACGGAGGAGGCGAGCGUUCUCCGGAUUUCUUGGGUUCAAAGGGUGCGCAGGCGGUCUGUUAAGUCAGCGGUCAAAGCCCGGGGCUCAACCCCGGCCCGCCGUUGAAACUGGCAGUCUCGCGUUGGCGAGAAGUAUGCGGAAUGCGCGGUGUAGCGGU
rnacentral:rRNA from 1 species